rnacentral:rRNA from 1 species
GACGAACGCUGGCGGCGUGCUUAACACAUGCAAGUCGAACGGCAGCACGGGUGCUUGCACCUGGUGGCGAGUGGCGAACGGGUGAGUAAUAUAUCGGAACGUAUCCAAUAAUGGGGGAUAACUAGCCGAAAGGUUAGCUAAUACCGCAUACGCCCUGAGGGGGAAAGCUGGGGAUCGUAGGACCUAGCGUUGGUGGAGCGGCCGAUAUCUGAUUAGCUAGUUGGUGGGGUAAGAGCCUACCAAGGCGACGAUCAGUAGCUGGUCUGAGAGGACGACCAGCCACACUGGAACUGAGACACGGUCCAGACUCCUACGGGAGGCAGCAGUGGGGAAUUUUGGACAAUGGGGGCAACCCUGAUCCAGCCAUUCCGCGUGAGUGAAGAAGGCCUUCGGGUUGUAAAGCUCUUUCGCAAGGGAAGAAAACUCGAUCUCUAAUAUAGGUUGAGGCUGACGGUACCUUGAUAAGAAGCACCGGCUAACUACGUGCCAGCAGCCGCUGUAA